rnacentral:rRNA from 1 species
UACGUAGGGUGCAAGCGUUGUCCGGAAUUAUUGGGCGUAAAGAGCUCGUAGGCGGUCUGUCGCGUCGGCUGUGAAAUCCCGAGGCUCAACCUCGGGUCUGCAGUCGAUACGGGCAAACUAGAGUAUUGCAGGGGAGACUGGAAUUCCUGGUGUAGCGGUGAAAUGCGCAGAUAUCAGGAGGAACACCGGUGGCGAAGGCGGGUCUCUGGGCAAUAACUGACGCUGAGGAGCGAAAGCGUUGGGAGCAAACGGG